UUGGAGGGCAAGUCUGGUGCCAGCAGCCGCGGUAAUUCCAGCUCCAAUAGCGUAUAUUAAAGUUGUUGCAGUUAAAAAGCUCGUAGUUGAAUUUCGGGAUCAAUGCGUCGGUCGUGCCUUCGGUACGUACUAGCGUCAUUGAUUCCUCCCUUCUGAAGAACCGUGAUGUCAUUAAUUUGGUGUUACGGGAAAUCAGGACUGUUACCUUGAAAAAAUUAGAGUGUUUAAAGCAGGCUAACGCUUGAAUACAUUAGCAUGGAAUAAUGAAAUAGGACGUUCGAACCUAUUUUGUUGGUUUCUAGGAUCGACGUAAUGAUUAAUAGGGAUAGUUGGGGGCAUUAGUAUUCAAUUGUCAGAGGUGAAAUUCUUGGAUUUAUUGAAGACUAACUACUGCGAAAGCAUUUGCCAAGGAUGUUUUCAUUAAUCAAGAACGAAAGUUAGGGGAUCGAAGACGAUCAGAUACCGUCGUAGUCUUAACCAUAAACUAUGCCGACUAGGGAUCGGAUGAUGUUAAUUUUUUAAUGACUCAUUCGGCGCCUUACGGGAAAC
rnacentral:rRNA from 1 species